CAGUAGCCGCGGUAAUACGUAGGGCGCAAGCGUUGUCCGGAAUUAUUGGGCGUAAAGAGCUCGUAGGCGGUCUGUCGCGUCUGGUGUGAAAUCCCGAGGCUCAACCUCGGGCUUGCAUCGGGUACGGGCAGACUAGAGUGCGGUAGGGGAGACUGGAAUUCCUGGUGUAGCGGUGGAAUGCGCAGAUAUCAGGAGGAACACCGAUGGCGAAGGCAGGUCUCUGGGCCGCAACUGACGCUGAGGAGCGAAAGCAUGGGAGCGAACAGGAUUAGAUACCCCUGUAGUCCCUGUCUCUUAUACC
rnacentral:rRNA from 1 species